rnacentral:rRNA from 1 species
CCUACGGGUGGCAGCAGUGAGGAAUAUUGGUCAAUGGGCGCGAGCCUGAACCAGCCAAGUAGCGUGAAGGAAGACGGCCCUAUGGGUUGUAAACUUCUUUUGUACGGGAGUAAAAGACGCCACGCGUGGCGUUCUGAAAGUACCCUAUGAAUAAGGAUCGGCUAACUCCGUGCCAGCAGCCGCGGUAAUACGGAGGAUGCGAGCGUUAUCCGGAUUUAUUGGGUUUAAAGGGUGCGUAGGCGGGAGGAUAAGUUAGAGGUGAAAUUUUGAGGCUCAACCCUGUAAUUGCCUUUGAUACUGGUCGUCUUGAGUGAAGGAGAGGUAUGCGGAAUGCGUGGUGUAGCGGUGAAAUGCUUAGAUAUCACGAAGAACACCGAUUGCGAAGGCAGCCUACCGACGUUCAACUGACGCUGAGGCACGAAAGUGUGGGGAUCGAACAGGAUUAGAUACCCCAGUAGUC